UACGAAGGGGGCGAGCGUUGUUCGGAAUUACUGGGCGUAAAGGGCUCGUAGGCGGCCAACUAAGUCAGACGUGAAAUCCCCAGGCUCAACCUGGGAACUGCGUCUGAUACUGGAUGGCUUGAAUUCGGGAGAGGGAUGCAGAAUUCCAGGUGUAGCGGUGAAAUGCGUAGAUAUCUGGAGGAAUACCGGUGGCGAAGGCGGCAUCCUGGACCGACAUUGACGCUGAGGAGCGAAAGCUAGGGGAGCAAACGGG
rnacentral:rRNA from 1 species